rnacentral:rRNA from 1 species
GCGCAGCAGUCGCGAAACUUUACAAUGUGCGAAAGCACGAUAAGGGAACUCUGAGUGCCUCCUAAGGAGGCUGUUCAGGUGUCUAAAAGCACCUGAAGGAAGGGCCGGGUAAGACCGGUGCCAGCCGCCGCGGUAACACCGGCAGCCCAAGUGGUAGCCACGUUUAUUGGGUCUAAAGCGUCCGUAGCCGGCUGGGUAAGUUCCUUGGGAAAUUUGGCUGCUUAACAGUCAAGCUUUCAGGGAAUACUGCCCGGCUUGGGACCGGGAGAGGUCAGAGGUACUCCAGGGGUAGGGGUGAAAUCCAUUAAUCCUUGGGGGACCACCGGUAGCGAAGGCGUCUGACCAGACCGGGUCCGACGGUGAGGGACGAAGGCUAGGGGCGCGAACCGGAUUAGAUACCCCGGUAGU